UACGAAGGGUGCAAGCGUUACUCGGAAUUACUGGGCGUAAAGCGUGCGUAGGUGGUUUCUUAAGCCUGCUGUGAAAGCCCCGGGCUCAACCUGGGAAUUGCAGUGGAUACUGGGGAGCUAGAGUGCGGUAGAGGGUAGUGGAAUUCCCGGUGUAGCGGUGAAAUGCGUAGAGAUCGGGAGGAACACCAGUGGCGAAGGCGGCUACCUGGACCAGCACUGACACUGAGGCACGAAAGCGUGGGGAACAAACAGG
rnacentral:rRNA from 1 species